rnacentral:lncRNA from 1 species
AAAAAAGAAAACACAUGUAUAAAAACGGGGCUUUCUUUCAUUAUUUUUGGGCCAGGAUUUUGUCUCUUGACGUAGGCUAAAAAUUAUUAUAUUUAAAUAAAAUACAAUUACAUGUGAAACAAAAUCUAUAUGCCUUGAUGUAAAAAACAAUACUCCCUUCAUUUUUAUACACAAGGUUACUAUUAAAAUUACAAUUUACAGCUAUAUAAGGUCAGAGUAACACUAAUCAAAGCAAAAUUGAUGGAGUUUACCUCGUACCAACAACCAAGACUCUAUGUUUUAUCUUUAUGUGAGAAAUCACAUUUGAAUCCAUAAGAAAGCCAAUACUACUAAAAAGGGUGAUGUAUGUAUGAUGAUCUAGUUUCUCAAAGUGCUUAGAGAUUAGCCACUAAAAGCCUUAACAUUUCUCCCAUAUAUAAACUAUUCUGUCGAAAACCCUAAAUUUCAAAUUCGGGGCCACCAACAUUUCCAGAUAGGCCACACCGAGUUAUCUUAUAUAGAACCCAAAACCAAACCCUAGCAAAUCGUUGCAACCGAGAUUCGCUUCGGUACAGCUAAAAAGUAGUGACCACCUUGCUGGUAUCCAUUUGACAAAAAACAUAAUUUCUGAGUUUUUUAUAUCGGUUCCACCGAGUCCGUGUAACUGUCUAGGCCAAUCGAAUCGGUCUCACCGAGAUGCUUUAUAUCGGUUUCACUGAAACGCCAAAAGUUAGGAUAUUUUGCACUAGUCGGUGCAACCAAGUUUUUACUUUGGUUCCACCAAGUUAGGCAAUAAUGGUGUAACAGUUGGAUUUUUGGAGAUGGUUAUAUAUACCCCUCCACCUUCCUCUCAUUUAAAGAGAGAGCACUCAGAACAACCAAACACUUCCACCGUUCAUUUUUUGAGAGAGAACCACCUACUCAUGUGUUGAGAUAAAGGUCUUAUACUCCAACCAUAUGAAUCUUGAUUUUUAGCCUCCCCAAGUUGAUUUCCACCCAAUCAAUCUCUUCUACCAAGCCAAAUUGUGUGAGAGAGUGAUUGAGUGUUGAGCAGACUAUCUUUUGAAGCACUAGAGCACGGAGUUCAUCAUUCAUAGCACAUCUAUUACCUUUUGGAGAGUGGUGUUUCCUAGAUUGGUUAGGUGUCGCUUGGGAGCCUUCAAAUCGUGUGGAGUUGAACCAAGAAGCUUGUAAGGACAAGGAGAUCGCCUACUUCGUGAAGAUCUACCCCGAGUGACGCUAGUCCUUCGUGUACGUAAUCCAUGGUGAAAUAGAAAAGGUUGAUUCUCCUUGGACCCUUCGUGGACUCGUACAGUCGUUACCCUUCGUGGGUUGAAGCCUCCAUCAAUGUAGACGCACAAUAGCACCACCUAUCGGGACCACACCAAAAAUCAUCGUGUCUUCAUUUCGUUUGAUCUUCCUAUCCAUACCCUCUACUUACACAUGCAUGUAUUUACUUUCCGCUGCUAUACUCGGAGACUUGCAUGUGUAGAGUGUGCUAGACUUGGUAAAAUCGCUAAAACUUGCCAUGCGAUAAAAUUGUGAAAAUAUUAAGUUUUUAUUUGAUCAAGUAGUCUAG